AGCGUGCACGGUGGAUGCCUAGGCAGUCAGAGGCGAUGAAGGACGUGGUAACCUGCGAAAAGCUUUGGGAAGGUGGUAAACAACCUAUGAUCCAGAGAUAUCCGAAUGGGGAAACCCACCCAGCGUAAGCUGGGUAUCUUAUACUGAAUACAUAGGUAUAAGAGGCGAACCGGGAGAACUGAAACAUCUAAGUACCCCGAGGAAAAGAAAUCAAUUGAGAUUCCCCUAGUAGCGGCGAGCGAACGGGGAUUAGCCCUUAAGUUUAUUAUGUUUUAGCGGAAGUAGCUGGAAAGUUACGCCAUAGUGGGUGAUAGCCCCGUACGCGAAAAGGCAUUUUAGAUGAAAACGAGUAGGUCGGGACACGAGAAAUCUUGACUGAACAUGGGGGGACCAUCCUCCAAGGCUAAAUACUCCUGACUGACCGAUAGUGAACCAGUACCGUGAGGGAAAGGCGAAAAGAACCCCUGUGAGGGGAGUGAAAUAGAUCCUGAAACCGUGUACGUACAAGCAGUGGGAGCCGAUUUAUUCGGUGACUGCGUACCUUUUGUAUAAUGGGUCAGCGACUUAAUUUUAGUAGCAAGCUUAACCGAAUAGGGGAGGCGUAGGGAAACCGAGUCUUAAUAGGGCGUAUAGUUGCUAGGAUUAGACCCGAAACCGGGCGAUCUACCCAUGGCCAGGUUGAAGGUUGAGUAACAUCAACUGGAGGACCGAACCCACGUAUGUUGAAAAAUGCGGGGAUGAGCUGUGGGUCGGAGUGAAAGGCUAAUCAAGCCCGGAGAUAGCUGGUUCUCCUCGAAAGCUAUUUAGGUAGCGCCUCGUGUCUCACCAUUGGGGGUAGAGCACUGUUUCGGCUAGGGGGUCAUCCCGACUUACCAACCCGAUGCAAACUCCGAAUACCAAUGAGUGCAAUCACGGGAGACACACGGCGGGUGCUAACGUCCGUCGUGGAAAGGGAAACAACCCAGACCGUCAGCUAAGGUCCCAAAGUUAUAGUUAAGUGGGAAACGAUGUGGGAAGGUUUAGACAGCUAGGAGGUUGGCUUAGAAGCAGCCAUCCUUUAAAGAAAGCGUAAUAGCUCACUAGUCGAAUCGGCCUGCGCGGAAGAUAUAACGGGGCUCAAACUAUACACCGAAGCUACGGACGCAUGCUUGCAUGCGUGGUAGAGGAGCGUUCUGUAGGCCGUUGAAGGGAAAGCUGAGAGGCAUCCUGGAGGUAUCAGAAGUGCGAAUGCUGACAUGAGUAACGAUAAGGGGAGUGAAAAGCUCCCCCGCCGGAAGACCAAGGUUUCCUAUCCAAUGCUAAUCAGGGUAGGGUGAGUCGGCCCCUAAGGCGAGGCUGAAGAGCGUAGUCGAUGGGAAGCAGGUUAAUAUUCCUGCACCACUCAAUAUUGCGAAGGAGGGACGGAGAAGGCUAGUCCAGCGCGGCGUUGGUUGUCCGCGUUUAAGCGUGUAGGCUUAAAUCUUAGGUAAAUCCGGGAUUUUUUAAGGCUGAGGCGUGAUGACGAGGUCCAUUAGGACUGAAGUGGUUGAUGCCAUGCUUCCAGGAAAAGCUUCUAAGCAUCAGAUAUUGAGUGACCGUACCCCAAACCGACACAGGUGGUCAGGUAGAGAAUACCAAGGCGCUUGAGAGAACUCGGGUGAAGGAACUAGGCAAAAUGGUACCGUAACUUCGGGAGAAGGUACGCCGCUGAUGGUGAUGGGACUUGCUCCCUAAGCUGUUGGCGGCCGAAGAUACCAGGUGGCUGCGACUGUUUAUUAAAAACACAGCACUGUGCAAACACGAAAGUGGACGUAUACGGUGUGACGCCUGCCCGGUGCCGGAAGGUUAAUUGAUGGGGUUAGCUUCGGCGAAGCUCUUGAUCGAAGCCCCGGUAAACGGCGGCCGUAACUAUAACGGUCCUAAGGUAGCGAAAUUCCUUGUCGGGUAAGUUCCGACCUGCACGAAUGGCGUAACGACGGCCACACUGUCUCCACCCGAGACUCAGUGAAAUUGAAAUCGCUGUUAAGAUGCAGUGUAUCCGCGGCUAGACGGAAAGACCCCGUGAACCUUUACUAUAGCUU
rnacentral:rRNA from 1 species